UACGAAGGGGGCUAGCGUUGCUCGGAAUCACUGGGCGUAAAGGGUGCGUAGGCGGGUCUUUAAGUCAGGGGUGAAAUCCUGGAGCUCAACUCCAGAACUGCCUUUGAUACUGAAGAUCUUGAGUCCGGGAGAGGUGAGUGGAACUGCGAGUGUAGAGGUGAAAUUCGUAGAUAUCAGGAAGAACACCCGUGGCGAAGGCGGCUCUCUGGGACGGUACUGACGCUGAGACGCGAAAGCGUGGGGAGCGAACAGG
rnacentral:rRNA from 1 species